rnacentral:misc_RNA from 1 species
GAUGAAGAACGUAGCGAAAUGCGAUAAGUAAUGUGAAUUGCAGAAUUCAGUGAAUCAUCGAGUCUUUGAACGCACAUUGCGCCCCCUGGUAUUCCGGGGGGCAUGCCUGUCCGAGCGUCAUUUCAACCCUCAUGCCCCUAGGGCGUGGUGUUGGGGAUCGGCCAAAGCCCGCGAGGGACGGCCGGCCCCUAAAUCUAGUGGCGGACCCGUCGUGGCCUCCUCUGCGAAGUAGUGAUAUUCCGCAUCGGAGAGCGAUGAGCCCCUGCCGUUAAACCCCCAACUUUCCAAGGUUGACCUCAGAUCAGGUAGGAAUACCCGCUGAACUUAAGCAUAUCAAUAAGCGGAGGA